rnacentral:rRNA from 1 species
CCUACGGGUGGCUGCAGUGGGGAAUAUUGGACAAUGGGGGCAACCCUGAUCCAGCAAUGCCGCGUGAGUGAUGAAGGCCUUCGGGUUGUAAAGCUCUUUUGCCAGGGACGAUGAUGACGGUACCUGGAGAAUAAGCCCCGGCUAACUUCGUGCCAGCAGCCGCGGUAAUACGAAGGGGGCUAGCGUUGUUCGGAAUUACUGGGCGUAAAGGGCGCGUAGGCGGCCGAUCAAGUCAGGCGUGAAAUUCCCGGGCUCAACCCGGGGGCUGCGCUUGAUACUGAUUGGCUUGAAUGCGGGAGAGGAUAGUGGAAUUCCCAGUGUAGAGGUGAAAUUCGUAGAUAUUGGGAAGAACACCAGUGGCGAAGGCGGCUAUCUGGCCCGUGAUUGACGCUGAGGCGCGAAAGCGUGGGGAGCAAACAGGAUUAGAUACCCCGGUAGUCAAC